GUUCACCUCGGAUCAGGUAGGAGUUACCCGCUGAACUUAAGCAUAUCAAUAAGCGGAGGAAAAGAAUCCAACCGGGAUUGCCUCAGUAACGGCGAGUGAAGCGGCAAGAGCUCAAAUUUGAAAUACAUGGCCCCUCGGGGUCCGAGUUGUAAUUUGCAGAGGAUGCUUCGGAGUGCGG
rnacentral:rRNA from 1 species